rnacentral:rRNA from 1 species
UGGGGAAUAUUGGACAAUGGGCGAAAGCCUGAUCCAGCCAUGCCGCGUGCAGGAUGACGGUCCUAUGGAUUGUAAACUGCUUUUUGUACAGGAAGAAACAGUUCUACGUGUAGAACCUUGACGGUACUGUAAGAAUAAGGAUCGGCUAACUCCGUGCCAGCAGCCGCGGUAAUACGGAGGAUCCAAGCGUUAUCCGGAAUCAUUGGGUUUAAAGGGUCCGUAGGCGGUUAGAUAAGUCAGUGGUGAAAGCCCAUCGCUCAACGGUGGAACGGCCAUUGAUACUGUCUGACUUGAAUUAUUAGGAAGUAACUAGAAUAUGUAGUGUAGCGGUGAAAUGCUUAGAGAUUACAUGGAAUACUAAUUGCGAAGGCAGGUUACUACUAAUGGAUUGACGCUGAUGGACGAAAGCGUGGGUAGCGAACAGGAUUAGAUACCCACGUAGUCCCUGAGCGGGCUGGCAAGGCGCAU